rnacentral:rRNA from 1 species
AAAUUGAAGAGUUUGAUCAUGGCUCAGAUUGAACGCUGGCGGCAGGCCUAACACAUGCAAGUCGAACGGUAACAGGAAACAGCUUGCUGUUUCGCUGACGAGUGGCGGACGGGUGAGUAAUGUCUGGGAAACUGCCUGAUGGAGGGGGAUAACUACUGGAAACGGUAGCUAAUACCGCAUAACGUCGCAAGACCAAAGAGGGGGACCUUCGGGCCUCUUGCCAUCGGAUGUGCCCAGAUGGGAUUAGCUAGUAGGUGGGGUAACGGCUCACCU